rnacentral:rRNA from 1 species
AUUAGGAAUCUUGCACAAUGGGGGAAACCCUGAUGCAGCGACGCCGCGUGAGGGAGGAAGUCCUUCGGGAUGUAAACCUCUUUUAUCGGGGAAGAAAAAAAUGACGGUACCCGAUGAAUAAGCUCCGGCUAACUACGUGCCAGCAGCCGCGGUAAUACGUAGGGAGCGAGCGUUGUCCGAAGUUACUGGGCGUAAAGCGCGCGUAGGCGGGCCAUUAAGUGAGAGGUGAAAUUCCAGGGCUCAACCCCGGAACUGCCUCUCAUACUGUUGGUCUUGAGUGAGGUAGAGAGAAGUGGAAUGGCUGGUGUAGCGGUGAAAUGCGUAGAUAUCAGUCGGAACACCGGUGGCGAAGGCGGCUUCUUGGGCCUUUACUGACGCUGAUGCGCGAAAGCCAGGGGAGCGAACG